ensembl:lncRNA
AAUAAUAAUCCUUCUUCCUUGUUUUGAACGUAAAACGUUCGGCGGCACCGCCCCCGUCGCUGCGUGCUCGUUCACGUCGCGCCGUUCACAAGUGGACGCCCUGCUGCGUCAUUUGCGCGCCGCCUCGCUCACGAUGCGCUUCUUUGCCCGACAUCCUAAAGAUAGAUGUUCCGAUUUCAGGUGAGUUUUUGUCCCGCAGAAAGAAAACCCGCUGCGUCCGUUAAUUAACGGGAGAAAAUGUCGGUUGUUUUCCGGUGAGCCGGUUGUAUUUCCGGCCCGUGUGUCCUCCGUACGCCGCCUGUUAUCUAUUGUUUAUGCGACGGCCACAUUCAAUGCGGUUGGCAGCCUGUGAAGCAGCGCGCUUUUGUAGGCGUGUUCGUUUACUUGCUAUAAUGAGGAAUCCUGAGUCCCAGUUAUCCUUUAAGAAUAUUUAAUAUGCAUUGGAGAAUUGAAAGCAUGUACAUGGACCUUCUUGGUUUGGAAAACCACAGUUCUCUGUGACUAAUACACAAGACAGUUGCUGUAGCCAACUUCCCCAAAAAGGAUGCCUAACUUAACGUUACAGAGUUUUGUAUGAGAAUGUGCUUCUAUUCAGUCUCAGAUUCAGAUUCAGAAAAUUUAUUUGUCCCCAGGGGGCAAUUAAAAAGGCACGUAGAGCAGGCAGUGCAACAAUGACCUAAUAAAGAAAUAGGGAUAAAUAUAUAUACAAAUCUAGAGCAAGUAAUAUAGGAAUAAAAAUAAAAAAAAGAGAAAUGAGACAAAAACACAGCUUAGUAACAUACUAGUGCAAAUAUGUCAUACAUAGUGCAAAUAUGAAUGAAAAGUAGGUGCAAUAUGACAAUAAGGUGGAUGCAAGAAAGUAUCACGGUGGAUAUAAAUUGCAGAGUGCAAAAUGCCAGAGUUCACAGAGGUCCAUGUUAAAGUCCGUGUGUGGUGGUGGUGGUGUUAUGGUUCAUGAGUGGAGGACUUGGACUGCCCUUGGUACAAAGGUAGACCUUCUCCUCUGUGUCCUGCAUGCAGGGCAGCGAAGCCGUCGACCAGAAGGAAGCCACUGAAAUGCAGAGAAGAGAGCGUGUGAGGGGUCACAGAUGAUCCGGUUUGCUGGUCUACAUGUUAACUGUUCAUACACUGCAGACAGAGUUCUCAGAGGCAGUCCUAUGAUUUUUGAGCAGACAGUCAGAUGGUUCCAUCCUAUCUGAUUGGUCUAGAGUUGGAGGAACCCGCAGUUUAGACUUGAACUCCCCUAAACAUCUUCUGUCUUCAGCCAAUCAGGACCAUCUUCAGCCUGAAGGACGGUGUGUGAAUGUAGAGGUGUUUCUGCUGUGUUGUGAGGACUGAAUGUGGUGUGUAUGUGAGUUCCUGAUAAGGCGGAAGUGAGGUGGAUGUGGUGUCUUAGAGAGGCCUUGAGUAUUGAUGAAGUGUGUGUGAGCAUGCAGUGAG